rnacentral:rRNA from 1 species
UACAGAGGGGGCAAGCGUUAUUCGGAAUUAUUGGGCGUAAAGGGCGCGUAGGCGGCCUUGUAAGUCUUGGGUGAAAUCCCUCAGCUCGACUGAGGAACUGCCUCGGAUACUGCAAGGCUUGAGGCCGGGAGAGGGUAGUGGAAUUCCCAGUGUAGCGGUGAAAUGCGUAGAUAUUGGGAGGAACACCGGUGGCGAAGGCGGCUACCUGGACCGGUUCUGACGCUGAUGCGCGAAAGCGUGGGUAGCAAACAGG